GCCAAGGUAGGUAAGUAAAGAUUGGAGUGAUGGGAAAGACUAUCUCUUUCCUGUAAAUGAAUGUGUAUAAGCCUACCUGACUGUGAGACCGACUGGUCGAACAGAGACGAAAGUCGGCCAUAGUGAUCCGGGAGUCCCGUGUGGAUGGGCUCUCGCUCAA
rnacentral:ncRNA from 1 species